rnacentral:rRNA from 1 species
CCUACGUGGGGCAGCAGUGAGGAAUAUUGGUCAAUGGGCGAGAGCCUGGACCAGCCAAGUCGCGUGAAGGAUGACGGCCCUACGGGUUGUAAACUUCUUUUGUCAGGGAGCAAUUGAGUCCACGUGUGGUCUUAGCGAGAGUACCUGAAGAAAAAGCAUCGGCUAACUCCGUGCCAGCAGCCGCGGUAAUACGGUGGAUGCGAGCGUUAUCCGGAUUUAUUGGGUUUAAAGGGGGCGUAGGCGGAAUAUCAAGUCAGCGGUAAAAAUUCGGGGCUCAACCUCGUCGUGCCGUUGAAACUGAUGUUCCUGAGUGGGCGAGAAGUAUGCGGAAUGCGUGGUGUAGCGGUGAAAUGCAUAGAUAUCACGCAGAACGCCGAUUGCGAAGGCAGCAUACCGGCGCCCAACUGACGCUGAAGCACGAAAGCGUGGGUAUCGAACAGGAUUAGAUACCCCAGUAGUC